GCCAGUGUGGUGUAGUGGUUUGAGCAUUGGACUAUGACUCUGGAGAUCAGAGUUCAAUUCCCCACUCGAGCA
rnacentral:tRNA from 1 species